ACGGACAAGUUUAAUGGUUUCAAUAUUCUGGAAUUUGUGUCUGUUUUUGUAAUUCGAUCGGAAAAAACCAUAUAGAAUAUUUGUUUAUACCAUUUUAUCGGUUUUUUUUUUUAAAAACUAUUUAUAAGCUUUGACGUUUCGAUCGAGAAAUUGCGGCAUUUCAAAUCGUGUUCAACAGAACUUCGCUCAGAUCGUAAUUCGUUAAUGGUGAUUUAUCAAUGCGUAUAGA